GAAUUUAGAUCAUGUAACCUCUGCUGGCUUGUUAUAACCAGGUUCAUUCUGUUGAUUUAAAAAGUCUUAGUUUACAAAAAUUUUGUCAGCCCUGAAGAAUGUUGUAUUUCAGAGUUAUCUCAUCUGUGUCUGUGCAUCAUCUGACUUAUGUCAGCUUUAAUGGCAAAGAAUUAUGUCACCUUUUAUUUGCUUACCUCAGAAGUUAUAUAUUAAGAGAUUUUUCCUUUAUGGAAGAGUAGAAAAAACACUCCCUAAACUCAAAGUUCAUACAGAAUCCUGCUGUUACCAUUCUUGCAAUCAUGUAUUUCAGCUGAUUUAUUCCCAUUAAAUCUAAUGUUACAGAAAAAAACUGCUUUGCAAAUAUUUAAUGGCUUCUAUGAGUCUGAAAAAGUGAAUCCAUAAGUUUGUGCCUCUUUAAAUAUCUUAUUUUUCCCCCUCAGAUAUUCAAAAGAAGCAGUGUCUGGUUGCUUUUUUCUGCACGUGGGAGAUUGUGAGGUCUCAGGCAUUUUAAUGUCUUCUUUUUAAGGGUUUUUUUGGACAGACUAACUUGCAGACUUGCUGACCUGAAAGCGAAUUUACCAUCCAAAAAACCCCUGACACUUCAAUAAGAAGGUUCAGAACACACUUCCAAUGAUCUUCUGUCUGUGCCCAAGCAUAGCCAAGGUUUCAUUACAUUGCCUGUACCCAUCUUCCACCAGCAACUGAAAAGAAACUGCCUUGCCCCAUCAGACUGCUGGCUCAGGUGUGUAGACUUUUCAGAGUGGGAAGUCACACAGCUGUGAAAGAUUCCCUCUACAGGCGCCUUUAAACUUGCUCCACCCAUGGGUUUGCCAUCACAGCAACUCUUCUAGCUCAAAUGGCUUUGUGCUGUAUUCCUGUGAUAUUGUCAUCUGCAAGGCAGGUACAAAAUCCUGCCCGUGGCAAGGCACAAGUGUAAUGGGAACAGGCACUGGAGACACAUCUUGGAAAACAGAGCUGCUUGCAACCUUGUUAGCCCUUCCGGACAGCUGUCCUCCACAGACCUGGCCCUGGAUGGAAUAUCAGCCAGCAGAGAUGAGUUUUUAAUACCUCCAGGAUUAUUUUGGAAAGAAAUUCUCUUUACAAGAUGGGAAGAGUCCACAGAGAACUCAUACAGGUCCCCACGGAUGGACUGUGAGCAGAGCAAGGCUGCCAUGCUCUCCAGAGACAGUAGCUGCUGGUAGCUGGGUCUCUCACAGAGAUUAAAAGAUUAAUGGCUUCUUCUCUAUCCAUUCAGUGGAAUGAAUGACACCAUGGCUUUACUUCCUGAUCUCUGCAGACCUCCCUGGGUAUGAAGACAGUACAAUCGAAAGCUAAGAAUUUCCCCUUUCAAGUGGUGAAUAAAAACUCUCAGCUCUUUUUUUCUUUCUUCUGAAGAAAGUGGAAAGAGCCUGUCUUCAGAAAGCUUGAUCUCAGGUCAGCAUCUCAUUGAAGCCAGCUUCAUUUGCAUUUUUAAUCUAUGUAAGUGAACAUGUGAAAUCUUAAAUGUGUAUCAGGUUUUUAAUAUUUAGCUUUCCAGUUUUCUGGAGGCAAGUGUAUAUGUCUGCAAGUCUGCAAUUGUAAAGAAAGAAAGGCUAUGUCUGUGUUCAUGCUUUGGUUAGAUGUACUGGGGCAGUACAGCUGCCUUUUUUGAUACUUGGGUUUUCCAGGAGCCACAGUAUCUUGCUUUCAUACCUAUAUCUGACUAGGAAACUACAAUUUCUUUGGAAAUCAUGGUCUACUCCACCAUUAAUAGAGCUGACCAGAGAGGAUUUUUUCCUAGCAAAAGAAAAUUACAGUAACCAUAGUAUUAAAAAAUAAAAGUGAUUGAAGAAGUACAGAGACAAAAAAAAAAAAAAAGAAACAAAAAUCCACCAGCUUUUUUUUUCUUAACAAGCUAAAUUCUACAUAAGUGAAAUGGUUGUUUGUAGAGGGACAGCAAGAAAUGCUUCCUUGAAGAGACACUCAUCUAUCAGCUUGGAAGAUUUUAAUAAGUUGUUAAAUAUUAUUCCAAAUUAAAAUAAUGUAAAUGAUCUAAAUUCUGAUCUCAUCUAGUCUACCUAAGGAUGGCAGAACCAGCAUCAAACCCAGUAGAUACUUUCAAGGAGAGAGGCCGAUAGAAGGCUUCCUCAAUUUUAAAUUAAGAUUCAGAGAAAGAGCAUUAGCUAAAGUUAAUUCUCACCUCUCUGUUGGUAUCAAUGGGCAAGUUCUUCUGUUGUAGGCCACAAACUCACUGCUACAUAGCAAAGAAACAAGAAUAUAAUAAUGAGGAUACUCAUGAUAUACAGAGAUUCUCAUGACAAUAUAAUCACAAAAGUAAAGUUGAUGGACACUCAGGGUAUUCUCAUAUUAUUUUCUGAGACAACCUCACACAUCUCAUCUUUUUUUUUUUCCCCAGAUCCUUUAUAUUUAAACAAGUAAAAGCAUACACUUUCACAGAACAUUACUUAUUUGAAGGGCUGUUCUGAGAUCAUCUCUGGAUGACUUUUGGUAGCAACUGCUCUGUGUCUGGAGAGCCAGAGGUGGGUGAUGCAUCAGAAGCACUCCAGCCUCUGCAAACACAGCAUCUGUGCAUUUACCCUUCAGCAAACGUGGUUUCACCUAUUUUUUUUCCUAAGCAAAUGUAGCUUGUUGUGGACACAUUCCCACACAUAUAGACUUGCAUGGCAAUGGAACUCCUUCUCACAUGAAACUGCAGUAGUCUCCUGACCCUACUUCCAGAAAAUUUUGCCUGUAUUUGCUGUUGCUUUUUUUUCUAUUUCUAUUAAUAUGGAAUUCAAUUCAAUUUAUGUUUCAAAGUUUUCGGAACCUCUCACAACUGAGCCAUUUUGUGAUGCACUAGUCAGGGUGCAACUGAGGUCUCAGGAAACUCCAGGUUUUGCCCAUCACUUUCUUCUUUUCUAAGAAAUUAUUUUGCCCCCAGCUUUUUAGGACCUCCCAUGGGAUUACUAGUGCUGCUUCUACAUGAUUACUAAUGUAGAGGAAGUCCUUCAUUUCAGUUCCAUGAAGUGGUUGAACUCUGAAUUUAAGGAUGCAGAGAAGCUGUUGUCAUUGUUUCAAGUAAGUCUUAGGGGCUGCCUGAAAAUGGGAUAGCGAUGAAGGGAAAUGCAGGGAAGAAUUUGUAUCCUUCUGUUCCUAGGCUCUCUUUAAAGUUGGGAAAGACAUCUAACAGAAGCUGAAGGCUUAUUUCAACAAAGAAUCAUGCCUUUCCCAUGCCUCCAUCACUGUUGGUAUCUUCAGGCCCACGUUUUUUGUCAGAUUAAGCUGAGUUGACUCUCUGCUCAGUAGGCACCACAAGGAUGAUCAUGUGUAUCCUGCUGUGCUUAAACCACAGUCAGGUUCCCCAUCUUGAUCAGUUUAAGGAAGAUUCUACUUCCAGCUGUUUUCCUCUGUCCAUCCCAUCAGUGUUUUCAUUGUAACUGAUGUGCACAGCUUGCUUGACAAAAUUUGACUAUAUUUUUUGUACAGCCACCAAGCUGUGUGAGUGCUGGGCCCAAGUGUAACACUUCAGUGCAAAAUAUCAGUGAAGUCUCUGCUUGGGGAAAUCAGCCUUUUCUACUCUAACUGGGUUCUAGCUCAGUGUGACUUCUGACCUGUAAGGAUCACCUUUUUGCAGGCCUGGGCAACAGUGCCUGAGGGGCAGGGACCAGCAGGACCAGCGAGAGUCGCUCAGGUUUAGUCAGGAAGCUGGGUCCCAGCCUGUGGAGCAGCAGCUCUGCCUUUAGGUGCGCAGCCAGCAGACCUCCCAAUAUGCUGGUCUCAAAAUGCCAAGUGUGCAAAGUGAGCACUAAGCACUGCAAAGAGCAGCUAUGCAAUGUAGAGCAACUCUACAUUAUACGGUGAUGGCCAAGACCAAGAGAAAGCACCAGCAAGCUUGGGCAAGGGCUAGGGAAAGAGCUAAUGUUCCAGAGAGGCGAAGCUGUUCUAGAAUGCUCCAACACAGACAGUGAAGAUUUUUUAGGGCAGAUGGAAGUUUGGACUGUGUUAUGUCAUUCCUUUUAUUCAUGAUGUAUUUCUAAAAAACGCUCAGCAACAAGUAUCCUAUACUGUUUCUCCCUGCUUGAAACUGCUUUAUGUAAGCUAUCUUUAAUUAAAACAAGCUUUUUCAUGUGUCCACAAUUGAUUCCUUAAAAUAUUAAUAUUUUUCCCUACAUUGGGUAUCAGAGCCAUUACUUUUUCCUGUGUAUCCUUUAACUAUAUUUAAAUAAUUCAUUUAUCCAUUUUCCAGCCCUCAGGGAGACUUGGGGUUUCUUUUACACCAUGUGAUCCCAUUUAAAACAGAGGUUAUUUCCUCUUCCUAAAGUUAUAGGAUAUUUUCUAUCUUUCCAGUGUUUACUAAGCAUAAGAAACCAGUUAGCAACCAUUUUAUUAAGACACAAAUGUAGCAUGGAAAUAUGUGUCUGCCUGUGUAUAAAUGCCCUUUCCACUGCUCAUCAAUCUUUUACUAAUUAGGAAGACAAAAAUAUUUUAAAACCAAUUAAUGUCACUGAGAAACAUUCCAGUAAUUCUCAAAAUACAAUGUAACCAUGAUAGAUACAUUUCAAUUAUUUCAA